rnacentral:rRNA from 1 species
UUACGGUCAAAUCACGCUGAAACACCGGUUCUCGUACGAUCACCGAAGUUAAGCAGCGUAGAGCCAGGUCAGUACUUAGAUGGGGGACCGCUUGGGAACACCUGGGACUGUAAG